GAUGAACGCUGGCGGCGUGCUUAACACAUGCAAGUCGAACGAUGAAGCCCAGCUUGCUGGGUGGAUUAGUGGCGCACGGGUGAGUAACACGUGAGUAACCUGCCCUUAACUCUGGGAUAAGCCUGGGAAACUGGGUCUAAUACAGGCUAGGAGCGUACACCGCAUGGUGGGUGUUGGAAAGCUUUAUCGGUAUUGGAUGGACUCGCGGCCUAUCAGUUUGUUGGUGAGGUAAUGGCUAACCAAGUCGACGACGGAUAGCCGGCACGGGAGGGGAACCGGCCACCCGAGGGCUGAGAGACGGAGCAGACGCGUACUGUAGACAGUAGGGGGGAAUAUUGCACAGUAGGGGCAAGCGUAAUGCAGCGGCGUCGCGUUUGUGAUGACGGCCUUCAGGUUGUGAACCUCUUUCAGUAGAUAAGAAGCGAUAGUGACGGUACCUUCAGAAGAAGCACCGGCUAACUACGUG
rnacentral:rRNA from 1 species